rnacentral:lncRNA from 1 species
CCUCAGAAUACAUCAACUUUUGAUUUUAUCGUAAAUUGCACAUGCGUUGACCAACACAUUAAUCGGUGUUGACGUGGCUCCAGGAAUUUGCCGAUGUGGACACUCCGGUGUUCAAAUGAUACGAUGUCGUUUUGUAGUUAUAUUCUACACUCAAAACGACGUCGUUUUGACUGAGUCUAAUUAAAAAAAAAGAAAAAAAAGAGGGAAACAUCUCCAGCGCCUCCCUUAUCACUCCCUGUCGCUGCACCCCCUGCACACCAUCUCCGGCGCCUCCCUUAUCACUCCCA